AGAGUUUGAUCAUGGCUAAGGCUGAACGCUGGCGGCUGCUUAGGUAUGCAAGUUUGAUCAUGACCCUUCCGGGUUCAGGGGAGGACGGGUGAGGAAUGCGUGAGAAUCUGGGUUGAGGUUGGGGACAACCACUGGAAACGGUGGCUAAUACCGAAUGUGCCGAGAGGUGAAAGAUUUAUUGCCUGAAGAAGAGCUCGCGUCUGAUUAACUAGUUGGUGGGGUAAGAGCCUACCAAGGCGACGAUCAGUAGCUGGUCUGAGAGGACGAGCAGCCACACUGGGACUGAGACACGGCCCAGACUCCUACGGGAGGCAGCAGUGGGGAAUAUUCCGCAAUGGGCGAAAGCCUGACGGAGCAAUACCGCGUGAGGGAGGAAGGCUCUUGGGUUGUAAACCUCUUUUCUCAGGGAAGAUAAUGACGGUACCUGAGGAAUCAGCAUCGGCUAACUCCGUGCCAGCAGCCGCGGUAAUACGGAGGAUGCAAGCGUUAUCCGGAAUGAUUGGGCGUAAAGCGUCUGUAGGUGGCAUUUCAAGUCUGCUGUCAAAGAUUGGGGCUCAACUCCGAAAAGGCAGUGGAAACUGAAAAGCUAGAGACCGGUAGGGGUAGAGGGAAUUCCCAGUGUAGCGGUGAAAUGCGUAGAGAUUGGGAAGAACA
rnacentral:rRNA from 1 species